rnacentral:rRNA from 1 species
GAUGAACGCUAGCGGCAGGCUUAAUACAUGCAAGUCGAGGGGCAGCAUGAAUGUAGCAAUACAUUUGAUGGCGACCGGCAAACGGGUGCGGAACACGUACACAACCUUCCUAUACGUGGGGGAUAGCCCAGAGACAUUUGGAUUAAUACCCCGUAAUAUAAUGAUGUGGCAUCACAUUAUUAUUAUAGCUACGGCGCUUGUUGAUGGGUGUGCGGCUGAUUAGUUAGUUGGCGGGGUAACGGCCCACCAGGUCUACGAUCAGUAGCUGAUGUGAGAGCAUGAUCAGCCACACGGGCACUGAGACACGGGCCCGACUCCUACGGGAGGCAGCAGUAAGGAAUAUUGGUCAAUGGACGCAAGUCUGAACCAGCCAUGCCGCGUGAAGGAUUAAGGUCCUCUGGAUUGUAAACUUCUUUUAUCUGGGACGAAAAAAGGCUAUUCUUAGUCACUUGACGGUACCAGAUGAAUAAGCACCGGCUAACUCCGUGCCAGCCGCCGCGGUAAGAC